rnacentral:rRNA from 1 species
CAAUAGCGUAUAUUAAAGUUGUUGCAGUUAAAAAGCUCGUAGUCGGAUUUUGGCAUCACGCCGAACUGUCUGCCGAUUGGUAAGUACGGUUUGGCGGGUGCUUCUUUCUUGAAGCUCGUUCCCUUCUUAACUGAAGGGUUCGUUGGUUCGGGUUCUUUUACUUUGAGAAAAUUAGAGUGUUCAAAGCAGGCCUAUGCUCUGAAUAGGUUAGCAUGGAAUAAUAGAAUAGGACUUUGGUUCUAUUUUGUUGGUUUCUAGGACCGAAGUAAUGAUUAAUAGGGACAGUUGGGGGCAUUCAUAUUCCAUUGUCAGAGGUGAAAUUCUUGGAUUAACGGAAGAUGAACUUCUGCGAAAGCAUCUGCCAAGGAUGUUUUCAUUGA